UAUGGAGAGUUUGAUCCUGGCUCAGAGUGAACGCUGGCGGCGUGCCUAAUACAUGCAAGUCGAACGGACAAGUAAGAGCUUGCUCUUAUGAGUUAGUGGCGCACGGGUGAGUAAUGUAUAGCUAAUCUGCCCUACACUAGAGGACAACAGUUGGAAACGGCUGCUAAUACUCUAUACUCCUGUCUUACAUAAGUUAGAUAGGGAAAGUUUUUCGGUGUAGGAUGAGGCUAUAUUGUAUCAGCUAGUUGGUGAGGUAAUGGCUCACCAAGGCUAUGACGCAUAACUGGUCUGAGAGGAUGAUCAGUCACACUGGAACUGAGACACGGUCCAGACUCCUACGGGAGGCAGCAG
rnacentral:rRNA from 1 species